rnacentral:rRNA from 1 species
AGCGAACGCUGGCGGCAGGCCUAACACAUGCAAGUCGAACGAACCUUUCGGGGUUAGUGGCGGACGGGUGAGUAACACGUGGGAACGUGCCUUUAGGUUCGGAAUAACUCAGGGAAACUUGUGCUAAUACCGAAUGUGCCCUUCGGGGGAAAGAUUAAUCGCCUUUAGAGCGGCCCGCGUCUGAUUAGCUAGUUGGUUGAGGUAAUGGCUCACCAAGGCGACGAUCAGUAGCUGGUCUGAGAGGAUGAUCAGCCACAUUGGGACUGAGACACGGCCCAAACUCCUACGUGAGGCAGCAGUGGGGAAUCUUGCGCAAUGGGCGAAAGCCUGACGCAGCCAUGCCGCGUGAAUGAUGAAGGUCUUAGGAUUGUAAAAUUCUUUCACCGGGGACGAUAAUGACGGUACCCGGAGAAGAAGCCCCGGCUAACUUCGUG